AGCAGCCGCGGUAAUUCCAGCUCCAAUAGCGUGUAUUAAAGUUGUUGCAGUUAAAAAGCUCGUAGUUGAAUUUCGGGAUCAAUAUGUUGGUCGUGCCUCGGUACGUACUAGCUUAUUGGUUUCUCCUUUCUGAAGAACCAUGAUGUCAUUUAUUUGGUGUCGUGGGGAAUCAGGACUGUUACUUUGAAAAAAUUAGAGUGUUUAAAGCAGGCUCACGCUUGAAUACAUUAGCAUGGAAUAAUGAAAUAGGACGUUUGAUUCUAUUUUGUUGGUUUCUAGGAUCGACGUAAUGAUUAAUAGGGAUAGUUGGGGGCAUUAGUAUUCAAUUGUCAGAGGUGAAAUUCUUGGAUUUAUUGAAGACUAACUACUGCGAAAGCAUUUGCCAAGGAUGUUUUCAUUAAUCAAGAACGAAAGUUAGGGGAUCGAAGACGAUCAGAUACCGUCGUAGUCUUAACCAUAAACUAUGCCGACU
rnacentral:misc_RNA from 1 species